rnacentral:rRNA from 1 species
CCUACGGGUCGCAGCAGUGGGGAAUAUUGCACAAUGGGGGAAACCCUGAUGCAGCGACGCCGCGUGAGUGAAGAAGUAUUUCGGUACGUAAAGCUCUAUCAGCAGGGAAGAAAAUGACGGUACCUGACUAAGAAGCCCCGGCUAACUACGUGCCAGCAGCCGCGGUAAUACGUAGGGGGCAAGCGUUAUCCGGAUUUACUGGGUGUAAAGGGAGCGUAGACGGCAGCGCAAGUCUGGAGUGAACUCCCAUGGCUUAACCAUGGAACUGCUUUGGAAACUGUGCAGCUAGAGUGCAGGAGAGGUAAGCGGAAUUCCUAGUGUAGCGGUGAAAUGCGUAGAUAUUAGGAGGAACACCAGUGGCGAAGGCGGCUGACUGGACUGUAACUGACGUUGAGGCUCGAAAGCGUGGGGAGCAAACAGGAUUAGAUACCCCGGUAGUC